GCUGAAACACCAGUUCCUGUACAAUCCCCAAAGUUAAGUAAUGUCACGCCUGGUCAGUACCUAGAUGGGUGACUGCAUGUGAAUACCAGGUGCUGUAAG